rnacentral:rRNA from 1 species
AGUGAACGCUGGCGGUAGGCCUAACACAUGCAAGUCGAACGGCAGCACAGUAAGAGCUUGCUCUUACGGGUGGCGAGUGGCGGACGGGUGAGGAAUACAUCGGAAUCUACUUUUUCGUGGGGGAUAACGUAGGGAAACUUACGCUAAUACCGCAUACGCCCUACGGGUGAAAGCAUGGGAUCUUCGGACCUUGUGCGAUUGAAUGAGCCGAUGUCGGAUUAGCUAGUUGGCGGGGUAAAGGCCCACCAAGGCGACGAUCCGUAGCUGGUCUGAGAGGAUGAUCAGCCACACUGGAACUGAGACACGGUCCAGACUCCUACGGGAGGCAGCAGUGGGGAAUAUUGGACAAUGGGCGCAAGCCUGAUCCAGCCAUACCGCGUGGGUGAAGAAGGCCUUCGGGUUGUAAAGCCCUUUUGUUGGGAAAGAAAAGCAGCAGGUUAAUACCCCGCUGUUCUGACGGUACCCAAAGAAUAAGCACCGGCUAACUUCGUG